GUGUGCCAUAAAGUAUUGAUUGUUUUAAACCAAACCCAGAAAGGGACUCCUGUGAUACUCACAGUCCAUCAAAAUAAAUAAAAACGAUUCUAGGAAUCAGCCAAAUCGAGAAGUGAUUCAUCAAGCAAAAACCAUAAACAAGAAAUGCGUUGCAUUCGUACGAUACCCAAAAAUAAAGAAGCCAAAGUAAUAAAUUUCAUGAAGAAUUAAAAAGCAAUAAACAAUGAAUAAAAC
rnacentral:misc_RNA from 1 species